GAUGAACGCUAGCUACAGGCUUAACACAUGCAAGUCGAGGGACCGGCGCACGGGUGAGUAACACGUAUCCAACCUGCCCUUUACCCGGGGAUAGCCUUUCGAAAGAAAGAUUAAUACCCGAUGUAAAGGAUGGGGAUGCGUUCCAUUAGGUUGUUGGUGAGGUAACGGCUCACCAAGACUUCGAUGGAGAGGGGUUCUGAGAGGAAGGUCCCCCACAUUGGAACUGAGCCACGGUCCAAACUCCUACGGGAGGCAGCAGUGAGGAAUAUUGGGCAAUGGGCGUUAGCCUGAACAAGCCGAGUAGCGUGAAGGAUGAAGGGUUAUGGGUCGUAAACUUCUUUUGUAUAAGAAUAGGUAUUAUAUGAAUAAGGAUCGGCUAACUCCGUGCCAGCCGCCGCGGUAAUAC
rnacentral:rRNA from 1 species